rnacentral:tRNA from 1 species
UGGGAUAUCGCCAAGUGGUAAGGCAGCGGACUUUGACUCCGUAACGCGGAGGUUCGAUUCCUUCUAUCCCAG